GCGGUCGGGCGUUGGGUUUCGCGGCGCUCGCCGCACUGGUUGUUCAGCACCUUCGGUCCGGUUGAGGUUGUCAAGUCGGACCAAACAGGUUGUUUCUCUGCAGUUUCCAACAUGGCAGGGAGGUUUAAUAGACAUGGAUAAGAAGUCCACUCACAGAAAUCCUGAAGAUGCCAGGGCUGGCAAAUAUGAAGGUAAACACAAACGAAAGAAAAGAAGAAAGCAAAACCAAAACCAGCACCGAUCCCGACAUAGAUCAGUGACGUCUUUUUCUUCAGAUGAUCCUAUGUUUCCUUCUUCCUCAUCAUCGUCUUCAGGAAGCCAGACAGAUUCAAGUAUUGAAGGACAAAAUAUGAAACACCAAGAAAAAGAGAAGGAAAAAAAGGAGGAAACAACCACAUAUGUCACCUUUCCAAGAGGGACUGAAACUGGGCUGACCCUUUUGAUUUCCAAGCUCAGCGUUUUGGUGUAAGGCGGCCAAAGAAGGAUGCGGAGCCCAGCACUGUGAAGCCUACAAAAACAUUGAUGCGCUGGCUUGGGGAUUUGAAUUUGAACAUCUUUCACACUAAGUUCAGACUCAUGAAACCAAUCUUCAGAUGCUCUGUAAACCACAUAAUAAAGAGUUUGGAAAUU
rnacentral:lncRNA from 1 species